AACUUUAAAUAGCAAAAUUAAUCAGAUAGACAAUUUGUACAAAUACAACCAAAAUUGUCAAUUGACACCUGAUGGAAGUUAUUGCCCUUUAAAGAUUUUUUUUACCCUUUAUUUUAAUGUUUUAAGAAAACUAAUUAAAUAGAGAGAAACUGUAAAAAGCAAAAACCAUCAUCAAAAUAAGAUCUACAGAUAAUUUAACUCAGCCAAAAUCACCAAUUGACUCCUUAUAAAUUCUACAAUAGUAAUUCAUUAAUUCAAAUGAUGCCAUGUCUCCUCUUAAUUUCUAUUUUUUUUCAAUCCAAGAGAUAUACACUUUCAGGACCUCAUUCGAAAUAAGCAGUCAUGUUUUUAUUGGUUUUCCUUGGAGUUAGAAGGAUACCAACUUGCAUUGAGGUAACAAAUGUGAAUGACAUACAACACACCAAGAGAUCAUUGUAUGAUCAACUACUCAAUGUGAAAAAGGCACAACCAAUGCACUGACAUGGUGGUAGCAUAUUUCAGGAGACUAUUUUCUCAUGCCUUCCAUCUAAAUAAAGACCAGCUGCAACAAUAGGGAGCAGCAUAAAGACCAAUGUUAUUACAUGCAACUGGGGAUCAUAAUCAAUGUGGAAAAUGGAACAAACAUAAUCUAAACCAAUACACUUACAAGUAUACUGGUCUACCCAGAGGAAAGCAGAUAACAGAUGAAGUACUGAAAGAGAAUCUGACAAAUUAGCUCCACUUGCAUCUAGUCAAAAAUAUGAAUCCAUCAACUCUGUUAUUUAAAAAAAAGCACCCAAAACUAUGCAUAAUGGUGGACCAAAGUCUCUUACAUGAGUGCCAGCAGCAAUCAGUCAAAUCAACAAUGGUCGUCACUAUAUCACAGAGAUUUUACAGCGUUAAAAUAUAAGUAUUGGUUCUGACACAAACAAACUUUGAAGAAAUGAGCCAAAUCAACUACGGUUGUCACAAUAUCACACAGAUUUUACAGUGCUAAAAUAUAAGUAAUGGUUCCAACACAAAGAUGACACCAAAAAAGAAAGACAAAGUUAGGUGCCACAAGAAGAAACAUUAUUUCUUUCAAAAGGAAAAGGUCAACAUUAAAGUCACACAGGUAUCUAUGUUUACGAUCGUGAAUUCAUUCUUCUUAUUUUAGUUAAUGAAUGUAAUUAAUAGACAAGGUUUGUGGUUUGCUCCCUGAAAUGCAAACAAAUAGAUAUAGUUUCAACUGUAAAAAGAUUGUAAUUUGUGCUUAUAAAAUAAAUUUCUGUCAUGUUUAUUUAUGUAGGCAAGACAUUUUAUGGUGUACAUUCUUUUUAUAUCCCAGCUUCGAAAAGGGGGAUGUUUUUUAGUUUUACUGGUUUAAGUCUGUCCGUAUUUCUUUUUGUCUAUCUGUCACAUACAUUUUGGUUGCAAUUUUUUCAUAACCUGAAAAUCAGACUCCUGUUUCAUGUGAGCAUGCUAUACUGUGUGAAGUUUCUGUUUAGGGAACAACCAUUUAACCUCAAGGGCGGGGGGAGGGGGAGGUUAUGGUUUUUUGUCUGAUUAAGAAAUUUUUCGCGAAAAGCGUAAACUUUUUUUUUGGGUUUUCAACGCAAUCAAUCAAAUUUUUUUUAUCACUGAACAUGUUAUUGUUUUAAUCUAAGAAAACAUAUUUCAGAAAAUAUUCAUAUGUAAUGCCAUAAUUCUAUUAAACAUUGAAAUCAAUGAAUCAUCUUUGAAACAAAAUGGUGAUGACCUUUCACCAUGUUUGAUGUAUUUUUUCAAGUGUUUUUUUUUUUAUAUAGCAAAGCCAACAAAUCUAAUUAGAGUUAUUUCCCUUUGAACAUGGGUUGAAUGUGAAAUAAUUAUAUCUUUGAUAUGUAAUAAAGAAACUGAAA